UUGUUCAGACCAAGCCUGUGUGCCUGAUAUC
rnacentral:piRNA from 1 species